GAUGAACGCUAGCGGCAGGCUUAAUGCAUGCAAGUCGAGGGGUAGCAAGAUUGUAGCAAUACAAUUGUUGACGACCGGCAAACGGGUGCGGAACACGUACACAACCUUCCUACAAGUGGGGAAUAGCCCAGAGAAAUUUGGAUUAAUACCCCGUAACAUAGCGAUGUGGCAUCACAUUGCUAUUAUAGCUUCGGCGCUUGUUGAUGGGUGUGCGGCUGAUUAGAUAGUUGGCGGGGUAACGGCCCACCAAGUCUACGAUCAGUAGCUGAUGUGAGAGCAUGAUCAGCCACACGGGCACUGAGACACGGGCCCGACUCCUACGGGAGGCAGCAGUAAGGAAUAUUGGACAAUGGACGCAAGUCUGAUCCAGCCAUGCCGCGUGAAGGAUUAAGGUCCUCUGGAUUGUAAACUUCUUUUAUAAGGGACGAAAAAAGGUCUUUCUAGAUCGUCCGACGGUACCUUAUGAAUAAGCACCGGCUAACUCCGUGCCAGCCGCCGCAGUAAGAC
rnacentral:rRNA from 1 species